rnacentral:lncRNA from 1 species
GAAGAAAUGGCCUGUUUACUCAUAAGCUGUAUGGGUUACUCAUGCAUUUAAUAUAAAAAGACUGGUCCCUACUCACAUACCCAUGACUGGUUCCUGUUUUUCAUUUUUGAUUGUCUGUGGCAGUGAAGUACAGAUUCUGUCAUUUUCUGCAUUAAUUGCUCUUUGAAUUUCUUCAAUUUCUGAUGUUUUGGAAAAAUGAAUCUCUCUUAGUUUGUCUUCUGUAUCUCCUUCUUCACUUCUGUCUUCAUCGUAAUCAUCAAAAUCAUCUUCAUAAUCUUCAAAAUCAUCUUCAUAAUCUGCUGAAAAGUUAUCCGGUUCUGGGUCUGAAUUAUAGAUGUGUGUACCUUUAACUUCCUGUUGACUUGUGUCUCUUUUCUCAUUUUCACUGAUUUUUCCUUUAUCUUUUCCAGUCCUUACAUGCUCAUGGCUCAUUUCUUCUCCUUGAUUCUCCUCCUCUGUUUUGUGUUCACUCUUCCUAAGAUCAAGCUUCUUUCUUUCAUUUUCCCCACUUUUUACUCUCUUCCUAUCUUCUGCUGGCUGUCCUCUGUCUUCACAGGAGUAUUCCUCCACAGAUCUCUUUGACUUAUGUCUUUCUUCCUCUUCUUUUUUGUAAGAUUUAUGGCCUCUCUCUUUUGAAAGUCUGUCUUUUUCCAGCCUAAUGGAAUGUUCUUUUUUUUCCCUGUAUCUCCUUUCUUCUUCUUUACCCAAUUCUUUAUCUUUCUGUAACUUGUGUCCAUGUUCACCUCCUCCAACUUUGUCUGCUAAAAACAUGUCGAUGCUGGUUUUCGUAUUAUUAUCCUUCUUCCUUGUAUGUCUUCUUUCUCGCUCUUCACCUCUGGUUUUCUCCUCUUCCAAACGAUGCCUGCUUUUUUCUCUUCUUCUGUGAUGUCCUUUAUCUCUUCCUUCAAAUGAUUUAAGAUUAUUUUGCAUAUCUGUUUGCUUUAUCUCAUGUCUUUUAUGCAUUUUAUCACCUUCUGUAUUGCUCUCCCUGUCUUUAUCUUUUGGUACAUGGUAUCUUUCCUUCUCUAAACUUGACUCUUUAAACUUAUCUUGAUGUCUCUCUCUGUCUUGAUCUCUGUGGUGUUCUUUUCCCCUUUCUCUCAUUUUAUCCUUGUCUCUUUCAACAGAUCUCAGUCUCUCUCUCAUUCUUUCCUUGCUCUUCCC